rnacentral:rRNA from 1 species
CAGACGGGUGAGUAACGCGUGGGAACAUACCCCUCGGUUCGGAAUAACUCAGGGAAACUUGAGCUAAUACCGGAUACGUCCGAGGUUUUAAUCGACCUCGGAGAAAGAUUUAUCGCCGGAGGAUUGGCCCGCGUCUGAUUAGCUUGUUGGUGAGGUAAUGGCUCACCAAGGCGACGAUCAGUAGCUGGUCUGAGAGGAUGAUCAGCCACAUUGGGACUGAGACACGGCCCAAACUCCUACGGGAGGCAGCAGUGGGGAAUAUUGGACAAUGGGCGAAAGCCUGAUCCAGCCAUGCCGCGUGAGUGAUGAAGGCCUUAGGGUUGUAAAGCUCUUUUACCCGGGAAGAUAAUGACGGUACCGGGAGAAUAAGCCCCGGCUAACUUCGUGCCAGCAGCCGCGGUAAUACGAAGGGGGCUAGCGUUGUUCGGAAUUACUGGGCGUAAAGCGCACGUAGGCGGAUCUUUAAGUCAGGGGUGAAAUCCCGAGGCUCAACCUCGGAACUGCCUUUGAUACUGGGGAUAUCGAGUCCGGGAGAGGUGAGUGGAACUGCGAGUGUAGAGGUGAAAUUCGUAGAUAUUCGCAAGAACACCAGUGGCGAAGGCGGCUCACUGGCCCGGUACUGACGCUGAGGUGCGAAAGCGUGGGGAGCAAACAGGAUUAGAUACCCUGGUAGUCCACGCCGUAAACGAUGGAUGCUAGCCGUUAGACAGCUUGCUGUUUAGUGGCGCAGUUAACGCGUUAAGCAUCCCGCCUGGGGAGUACGGUCGCAAGAUUAAAACUCAAAGGAAUUGACGGAAUCGA